rnacentral:tRNA from 1 species
GCAAAUGUAGGUUAAUGGUAGACUUACCGGUUUCCAUUCGGUAUGUGUCAGUUCGAUUCUGACUAUUUGUA